rnacentral:rRNA from 1 species
CCUACAGGGGGCAGCAGUGGGGAAUAUUGCACAAUGGGCGCAAGCCUGAUGCAGCCAUGCCGCGUGUGUGAAGAAGGCCUUCGGGUUGUAAAGCACUUUCAGCGGGGAGGAAGGCGGUGAGGUUAAUAACCUCAUCGAUUGACGUUACCCGCAGAAGAAACACCGGCUAACUCCGUGCCAGCAGCCGCGGUAAUACGGAGGGUGCAAGCGUUAAUCGGAAUUACUGGGCGUAAAGCGCACGCAGGCGGUCUGUCAAGUCGGAUGUGAAAUCCCCGGGCUCAACCUGGGAACUGCAUUCGAAACUGGCAGGCUAGAGUCUUGUAGAGGGGGGUAGAAUUCCAGGUGUAGCGGUGAAAUGCGUAGAGAUCUGGAGGAAUACCGGUGGCGAAGGCGGCCCCCUGGUCAAAGACUGACGCUCAGGUGCGAAAGCGUGGGGAGCAAACAGGAUUAGAUACCCGUGUAGAC